AAUAAAUAAAUAAAAUAAAAUAAAAUAAAAAUAAAAAAAAAAAAAGCAAAAAACUAAAAUGGGUUUAACAACCAAAAAUGCAAAGAGUGAUUUUAUUGAUUCUUCCUAUUUCAGUCAAAAACACAUUGGGGAGUUCCCACUGUGGUGUAGCAGCUUAAGAAUCUGACUGCAGCUAUUUAGGUUGCUGCAGAGGUGUGGGUUCGAUCCCUGGCCUGGAAACUUCCAUGUGCCAGGGGUGCAGCCAUAAAAAGGAAAACAAAAGCAAAAACUCAUUGGGCUGAUGACUUAGAAAAAAAUACCUGCAACAAUUUUUUUUUUUUGCCCCUUUUCCUGAGUUACAAUCUGGCUCUAGUCUAUGGAGCUUGCAUUACUUUUUUUCUAAAAGUAUUAAUUACUCUGCACCCACCUGCACUAAAAUACUUUUGAUACUUGUUGAAGUGUGAACUCCUCCUACAUUUUAUCUGUUUAUUUUCCUGUCCAAAGGUCAUCCGAUAUCAAACUGUCACAGUUUGAUACACGAUCAAGGCUUGUGUAUAUAUAGACAAGGCUUGUGUAUAUAUAGACAUGAUUGGAGUCCUGAAGAAAUGUUUUUGAUGAUGUAAUUGAUGUAAAGUCAGAUUAGAGAAAGAUAAUUCAUCUCUUUUCAGGAAGGAGUAAAGUCACAUUGCUGUUGCUGUUUUCAUUUUCCAAAGUCUAAUUAAUGGUUAUUGCCACCACUGCCAAAUCCUCUUUCUGUUAAUUGCUUUUUUACAGAGAAAUAAAGUCCAUCAAUUACUUUUCCAUCAUUCAACUGUAGACCUUGUUGCCUAUGAGAAGAUCCUCAUCUAAAUACAAGUUUUCAUUAUUUCGGUCCCAUGAGAAGAGCAAUCUUACCCUAUCACUAGCUCUAGCUCUAACGUCAGUAGCCAGUUGUGGAAUUUAGUAUGUGUUACUCCACAUUUUCUGUAGACAUUACCAUCCUGACUAUUACAAAAGGAAAGGAUGUACUGCAUACCCAGUAAGAGCCACUCACUAUUCUGAGUUUAUUAGCAAUUAGUUUGUUUUGAUUCCUAACACAGUUGCUUUUUUUAAAUUUGUGACAGUUAAUUUGAAAGUUUAUAUAAUUACUUAGUUUUGAAUUGUAUAAUAAACCACUCAAAUAACAGUGCAGUCAUUCAAUCAGAACCCUCCAGAAAACCUGAAAUGCUUUUCUCUUAUAUUUCUUACUAGCACAGUUAUUUUUCUUACUCUUUCUAUUUUAUUCUCAUUUUAUCAUGUCUUGAAGGGCAUACUCUAAACCCUGAGACAGGGGAAAUCAUUAGAGUGUGUAUUCAUAGACAUUUUGUAAACUUUGUUUUGAUUUUCCAUUUUUAUGGUUUUGGGCCAUCUAUAUUUCUCUUUUAGUUUUCAGUGUAAGCGUCCACAAAAUUUCAAUAUAACACUUAACUUUUAUCUCUGAUUUUACCUGGCUUUUAUAGUAAACCAGAGACAAACUACAUAAUUUCCUUUGAAAUUGGCAGAAACUUAUAUUUUCCCAUAAGUUUUGUGACAUUUGAAAGUAUUCUACAAUAAUGUUGGUUUGCCUAGGUCUAGUUUUAUCAAGAAAUUCUGGUCUUGUAAUGUGAAGAGAGUAUUUUAUAAAUGAGUUAAUGUGUCAUGUAGCACACUAGACAGAAAUAAGCCUUGGUAAAACAGAAAUCUAUAAAGGAAGCCAAUUCAUUCUUAUUGCCUACUCAGGCAAUAAGACUGACCAUAAAAGGGCAGUCUCUAUUCACCCUAGAAGUCUUUACUUUCAUAGACAAUAAUGAAAUUAAGCCCCUUAUCACUCAUGUAAUCCUUGAAACUCAUAGGUACCCUGUUCCUUCUCUACCCUGCCAGUUAUUGGAAACAGGAAAAAGCUUCUUUCAACCUUGUUAUUUGGGAUUUGAAAUUCCAAGUUUUUGUAAUGAUUUCCUUUUUUAUAUUUAAGAGUCAUUAGUUAGUAAAAGAAUAAGCAUGAAAAGAAAAAGAUAAAAUGACAUCUGAUCCAAGACACUUCCUGGUCAAAUUAAAUAGGACAUAAUUAGGAUGAUCUUGCCACAUCUGGUUCUUAACUCAGAGCUUCAUCUGUGGGUUUAUGAACCUCUAGGGGAGGGUGGAGACCAACCAAGUUCUAAUGAUACUUUGCAAUGUCAUCAUUUGAAUAUUUCUUUCUAGAACACUUUUUUUUUCAAUAGCUAUUGUAUCAUUUGAUGAUCUGAUAUAAAUUUUACUUUUCUGUCUUUUAAAUGGAUGUUGAAAUUUCAGCAAGGCAUAUAAAGUUGUAUUGGUUUAAAGAAAUCCUGAAUAAUGUGGUGUAUCGUCCACCAAGCUUUAAGCCAGUCAUUUGACAUGGCUGGUGCCUGUCUAGUGGCUGACAUUUUGGUGGGUCAGAAAUAGAGUAGAAUUGUGCCUUUUUUAUCUACUUUCCUUGUGAGUAAGAUUGAGCAAUUCCCUAAGUCUUGUUUAUAAAUUAGUUAACUAACUGUUUUAAUCUAUUUUCUGAUAGUCUCCAAUGAUUUCUAGUCAAAUACAGCCCUUGGAUGAAAUCCAUAAUGUCAAUCACUUUAACACAUUUAGGCAGAAAUCUAUAUUAUUGUGGUUUCUGCAAGAAUUGUGCUAAGGCCAUGACUCAUUCUGAGCACAUACAAGGAAACAAUUCCCUAUCCCCCUGGUGGGAUCCUACUAUACUCUUUUCCCCUUUAAACUAAUCAUUUGGUUAAAAGACAGAGAAAUACCCUAAAAAUGGGUAGAGGGAAUGAGAUGGACUGGUAGGUUGGGGUUUUGAAUGCAAACAGUUACAUUAGGGAUGGAUGGGUAAUGGGGUCCUACUGUACAGCACAGGGAACUGUGUGUGAUUGGGUCACUUUGCUGUACAACAGAAAUUGAAGAGACACUCUAAAUCGACUAUAUUUUAAUUCUAAAAAUGUACAAUUUUUUUCCUGUUGUAUAGCACUGGGAAUUAUAUCUAGUCACUUGUGAUAGAGCAUGAUGGAGGAUAAUGUGAGAAAAAGAAUGUAUAUAUGUAUGUGUGACUGGAUCACUUUGCUGUACAGUAGAAAAUUGACAAAACACUGUAAACCAAGUAUAAUGGAAAAAAUAGAAAUCAUUUAAAAAAUAAAAUAAAAUGCCUUGUCACAAGCACUGAAAAAAAAAUUUGUGUGAUUUUAGUACACUGUUCUCUCAAAUGAACAUGAGAUUGCAGGUAAGAAAAUUAAGUAGAUGGAAAGAAUAGGCAUUUCCAUUCUCUCAGUGUCUCAGGCAAUAGGUACUUGAUACAUAUAUUUGCUAACUUGUAUUGACUCCUUUCAGCUACCAUUAGGGACCAAUGACUGGAAGUAUGGCCAUUAGCUGUAGGCAGUUUUAUAAAUAAUGCUUGACUUGGCUUCUAAGACAAGGUUAGAGCCCUGGAUGCGUGAUCCUAGGCAAGCCCUCAUCUGUGAAAUGAGGAUGAGAAUAUGCUUCUUCUGCUAACUCAGUGAUGAACAAUAGUUUAAAAUGAUAAAUGAUGAAUUCAUGUGGAAGUUCUUGGUGAUUGAUGAAUUGCUUCCUAAAUGUAAUAUAUUGAUAUCUCCUUAGUGAUGAAAGAGGAAGGAAAAAAAAAAAAAAACAAGGAAAUAUGGCAUCCAUGCAUACUAACUAUGAGCAGGGUGAAGCCCUAAGUGCAUUCAUGAUUUUAGUCCAGGUCUCUAAUCAAAUUCCUGAUUCAGCCAGAUGAUACAUCUUAUCUUACACUGUUAGCUGUAUUUAUCAGAAUUUUCAAAAAGCUUAUAUCAAUGUUCAACCCAGAAAUUUUAGCAAACACAGAAAAGUAUUUAGAAAUCAAAAAUCUCAAAAUUAAUAUGUUUCCUACUUUUCAUUUGGUCUUUUUAUCCUGUGCAUGUAUACACUCACAAAUAUAUACUUAUACUUAAUAUUUAUGCCAUAUUGUUUGGUCUUUCUGUAUUAUGUGUUUUUAUGGCUGAAUGUGCAUACACUUUUAUAUAAUUUGUAGUCUGAGUUUUAUUUUACACUAUCAGGAAAUUUUUACUUCAAAGAAUAAACUUUUAAUAAUACAUUUUUCUAUUUAUUUGUUUCAGAAUUUCUCUAUGUUUACAAAAGCACAAUAUACAAAAUGCUCUUAUAUCCUUGUUGGUAGGAGGCACGUUGAUAAAGCGUAACGUAUCUAUAUGCUGACUUAUGGAUUGUUACUUUCAUUACCUCAGCUGUGGCAGCAUUAAUAAUAAACAGGACUUCUUAAUAUGCUAAAAGAAUAUGAGAGACAUAUAUCUUUAAUAUGUCAUAGAGUCAAUAUUGGAAGUCUAUCUAUGGCUUGGGUUGAGUUUCUGCUAUUUAUCUAGAUUCCCUGGGCAGAAGAGAAAAGAUAGUGUUUCAGUUUUCCAUAGUCUGUGGAUGAUGCAUUAUAAAUAUUUCUCUGGGAAGAAUCAUUUAAAACAGGGGGAGGAAUUUCCCAUAGUGGCUCAGUAGUAAUGAACCCAACUAGGAUCCAUGAGGAUACAGGUUCAGUUCCUGGCCUUUCUCAAUGGGUUAAGGAUCUGGCAUUGCCGUGAGCUCUGGUGUAGGUCACGGAUGCAGCUUGGAUCCAGUGUUGCUGUGGCUGUAGUGUAGGCCAGCAGCUGUAACUAUGAUUCAGCCUCUAGCUUGGGGACUUCCAUGUGCCAUGGGUUCAGCCCAGAAU
rnacentral:lncRNA from 1 species